AAGGGGGUGGGCUCUAAGGCGGGGCUGAGGAUUUGGGGCUGGGGUCUGGGGGUUGCUGUUCCAGAGCCAGCGGAAGGCCCUGGAUGAGGGGAGAGCUGACUCCACCGCUGGGGCUGCAGGGCAGGGGUCAGCAUGCAGGCUUGGGGGACCUGGGCAGAGGCUGGGAGUUGGGGGAGAUGGCCCAGCCCUCCCACCUCAAACCCACACUCUCCUGUGACCCACCCAGGGGGGGACCACCCCAGGCCUGGCAGGGGAGAGGGGCACUGUGCCCACCCUGGCCCCAGAGGUGGUUCUGGGCUUUAGGGUAGUUUCUCUUCUGCCCUCCGCUUCCUCAGGCUGGAGGGCAUCUGGGUGCAGCCUCCUGUGACUGUGGGCAUCCCGGACAGGAGCUCGCUUGCAACUGGCCCUGCAGACCCAGCGCUGAGCUCAGACAGGCAGGGGUCUGUGCAUGCAUCAAGCACCCCAGCGUCCAGCACCGGCCUGACCGCCUGGCGUCAAAGCCGCCUGUCCUCCCCAGCCCCCGAACUGCCUGCUGAGAGCCCCCCUCCCCCACACUGCCCACCGCUCCUGGCUUGGCAGAGGAAGGGGACUCUCGGGCCACACCCAGGGAGGGACCCGAUCUGGCUUCACGUGGAACCCAGGUUGUAGCUGCCUGUUUUGCGUGGUCCUGCAGCUGAGUCUGCAUAGAGAGUACAGCAUCAGGGACACGCCUCCCGGGAAGCCGUCCUGGGGAGGGGUGGGCCCACACCUGGGGCUGGCAGGCUCCAUGCCUGGAUGUUUGCAAGAAGCAGAAAGAAGCCUCCGCAUAGUCUCAGCCACAGGCACGCUGGGUCCUCUGUUGCCUGGCCGCAAGCUCAGGGGUUUCAGUGAGACCCUCCUGCUCCCACAGUCUCGAGUGGACCCUGGUGGGGCUCCCUGGCGCUCUCGAUGCCCCCUGGGUGGCCACAGGAGAAAGUCCUACCUGGAAAGGAUGGAAAACAGUCUGUCAGUGUUUUAGCUACACUGUCAUAGGACCUGGCCAUUGCCUUCCUGGGUAUUUGCCCAAAAGAGAAAAAGCCCAUGCCCAUGCACGACGCGUGUGCCCACAGCAGCUUUGUCUGUGAUGGCCCCAAACUGGAAACACCCCCACGUCCACCCACAGGGGAAGGGGAGCAGAUCGUGAUGUGUCUGCACAGCGCAACGCUGCCCAGCAGUGAAAGAAGGAACUACCGGGUGCUCCUGGCAACCUGCCCACGUCCCAGAAUAACCGCGCGGGGCGAAGCCGUCAGGCGGCGAGAACGGUGGACGCUGGCUGGUUCCACGCACUCGAAGCCCUAGAAACCAAACUCCUCUCCAGUGACAGAAAGCACAGCAGUGAACUCACUGCAGAGAGGGCACGUGCCAGAAGGCCCCGGAAGCCGAUGGAAAAGCUGCCAGGAGCAGAGGCCGGCCUGAUGUGAGCCACAGAACAGGACGUGACAUCAGGAUGUGAGGCAAAGUGUAACAAACACCUGAGGUCCACACGGAUGUCCUCGAAGGACCGUGCCCACCCAUGGAGCGCAGAGACGGAUCUCGGUGCAGCAAUGUCAAAAAUGUGUGUGGAUCCCCCCGGGAGGUGGGGGCCGCACAGGGGGACUUCAUCCCCCCGGGAGGUGGGGGCUGCACAGGGGGACUUCCUCCAGAGAGGCCAGGUCUAGAAGACGGAGAGGCACAGGGUUGGGGUGGAGGAACCUCAGCCUGGUGACCAAGGUCAGCAUCGGCAGUGAAGGUCGUGCUGGUGGUGUCCCCAUGUAGGGGGUGGGAGGAAGCCCCAUCCCCAUUCUCUUCCGACUGUUACUGGGUUCAGCGUGAGAAACACAGCAGACAGAGCCCAAUUGAGGGACGACAUAAACACCACAGCAGCGUCCCUCAAGGCCACAGGGUUCCCCAAAGACCAGGAAGGCUGAGGAACGUCACUUAGGGAGAGCCCACUGGUGAGAGACACAAUGUCCCGUGGUGGCCUGGAGAGAAAGGGACCCUAGGUAACUAAGGGAAUCCGGGAAAGGCGGGUGUCAGCGGACUCCAUGCCCCGACACUGGCUCGCUGAUUUCUACAAAGGGACCUGAGGAAUGAAGACCCCACUGAGCUGGGAAGUGGGGGCCGGGGGACGGAACCUCCCUGCUCUGUCUUCACAUUUUUUCCUGUAAAUACAAAACCAUUCUAAAAGUUUA